GAAUAUUGCACAAUGGGCGAAAGCCUGAUGCAGCCAUGCCGCGUGUAUGAAGAAGGCCUUCGGGUUGUAAAGUACUUUCAGUUGUGAGGAAGGGGGUAGUGUUAAUAGCGCUAUCUCUUGACGUUAGCAACAGAAGAAGCACCGGCUAACUCCGUGCCAGCAGCCGCGGUAAUACGGAGGGUGCGAGCGUUAAUCGGAAUUACUGGGCG
rnacentral:rRNA from 1 species